rnacentral:pre_miRNA from 1 species
UAGUUUUACCUUUCACUAGAAAUAGUUUCACCUUUCAAGCUUUUAUCAUUUUUUUUGCUGAAAGGUGAAACUAUUUCUAGUGAAAGGUGAAAC